rnacentral:rRNA from 1 species
UUAAUUGAAGAGUUUGAUCAUGGCUCAGAUUGAACGCUGGCGGCAGGCCUAACACAUGCAAGUCGAGCGGCAGCACAGAGGAACUUGUUCCUUGGGUGGCGAGCGGCGGACGGGUGAGUAAUGCCUGGGAAAUUGCCCGGUAGAGGGGGGAUAACCAUUGGAAACGAUGGCUAAUACCGCAUAAC